rnacentral:rRNA from 1 species
AGCAGCCGCGGUAAUUCCAGCUCCAAUAGCGUAUAUUAAAGUUGUUGCAGUUAAAAAGCUCGUAGUUGAAUUUCGGGGCCAGUAGGUUGGUCGUGCCACUGGUAUGCACUGGCCUUACUGGUCCCUCCCUCUUGUAGAACCGUGAUGCCAUUAAUUUGGUGUUGCGGGGAAACAGGACUGUUACUUUGAAAAAAUUAGAGUGCUUAAAGCAGGCUCGCGCUUGAAUACAUUAGCAUGGAAUAACGGAAUAGGACGAUCGAACCUAUUUUGUUGGUUUCUAGGAUCGACGUAAUGAUUAAUAGGGAUAGUUGGGGGCAUUAGUAUUCAAUUGUCAGAGGUGAAAUUCUUGGAUUUAUUGAAGACUAACUACUGCGAAAGCAUUUGCCAAGGAUGUUUUCAUUAAUCAAGAACGAAAGUUAGGGGAUCGAAGACGAUCAGAUACCGUCGUAGUCUUAACCAUAAACUAUGCCGACUAGGGAUCGGAUGAUGUUAAUUUUAUAAUGACUCA